rnacentral:rRNA from 1 species
UACGUAGGGUGCGAGCGUUGUCCGGAAUUAUUGGGCGUAAAGAGCUCGUAGGCGGUCUGCCGCGUCGGUCGUGAAAACUUGGGGCUUAACCCUGAGCUUGCGGUCGAUACGGGCAUGACUGGAGUUCGGCAGGGGAGACUGGAAUUCCUGGUGUAGCGGUGAAAUGCGCAGAUAUCAGGAGGAACGCCAAUGGCGAAGGCAAGGCUCUGGACAGCUCCUGACGCUCAUGCACGAAGGCCAGGGGAGCAAACGGG